AGGUAGUGACAAGAAAUAACAAUAUAAGGCCAAAUUUUGGUUUUAUAAUUGGAAUGAUGGGAACUUAAAAUCUUCCCAAAACUCAAUUGGAGGGCAAGUCUGGUGCCAGCAGCCGCGGUAAUUCCAGCUCCAAUAGCGUAUAUUAAAAUUGUUGCAGUUAAAACGCUCGUAGUUAAAUUUCAUAGGAUUAAAAUAUUGUAAGUAACGUGCUUGGCGAGAUUCAUCGUGACUCUGUCAUUGUACUCUGCCUCGCCGUACUUUUAAUUAUAGAUUCCUUUGAGAGCCUAAUGUGAAUCAUCACAGGGCUCCAGUUACUUUGAGUAAAUUAGAGUGUUUAAAGCAAAUAUAUAUAAUUGGUAUAAUUACUGUGUUUGAAUACUAUAGCAUGGAAUAACAACAUUGAAUAGGUCAAAAAUUUUUGAAAUUUUUCUUGUUUUGGCUUAGAUACAGUUAAUAGGAGUAGAUUGGAGGCAUUUGUAUUCAGAUGCUAGAGGUGAAAUUCUUAGAUUUUCUGGAGACAAACAACUGCGAAAGCAUUUGCCUAAAAUACUUCCAUUAAUCAAGAACGAAAGUUAAGGGAGUGAAGACGAUCAGAUACCGUCGUAAUCUUAACCAUAAACUAUGCCGACUA
rnacentral:rRNA from 1 species